UCUCACAUUGCUAUCAUAAGAAACUCCCAGAAAUUGCUUCCAAACACAAAUAUUAGUUUGCACAAUCCAAGGAAAUGUGUUUCAACCUCACAGCUCAGCCAAAGUCCAAAGAUGGAUCCUACAGUUCCCACAGGAAAUGGGAUACAACCAGAACUCUUUAUCUAGUAGUGAGGGGGCUUUGCAGCAAUUACAGCUUCCCAGGACUAUUGUGAAUUUACAGUAGCAACCAAGAGACCAUCAAGUCUGUGCAAGGGGAACAAAUGAUUUGCUGUAGGGCUCACACACCAGAUGGAAGACAACUGGGUAGAUGCUUGUAGCAAACACUAAUGAAGCACAAAGCGUAUGGAAGGAUGGAAAGCAGACGUUCAGCUCCUGAGUGAGUGCACAAGAUCUUCAGCUGGAAAGCUCUGAAAGAGAACCAGCUGGGACAUCUGUAGUGGAGCCAAGGCAAAACACUUCCUAGUGUCAUGAAAAGGAAAAGAGCUUUUGAGAGUAGGAAUCCAGAAAAGCAGCUGGGUAAAUCUGCUCCCUAUGGAUGAAACUUCAAGAGCCUCAAAGACUCAGCUGUCCCCUGGGCAGCUUUCGUCAAAGAAGUCAGACAGUUUUAAGACAAGAUGCAGAGAAGCUCAGGCAUUGCUAAGCACCCAAAAGCUCAAAUGGGAAAGAAAUCUUAUGCAUGUAACACAUGUAGGAAACACUUUGUCUUGAGCGCCACCCUCACCACCCACCCAUGAAUGCACUUGAGUAAGUGGCUAUGCAUGCCUGGUCAGGAGGGGCACCAGCCAGAGCUCAAAUCUAGCAUGACACCACCACACCCACAGCCAGGAGCACCUCUAUGCGUGCCGUGUGUGGGGGAAGAACUUCCACUUCACCUCCCACCUCAAAUACUGAUGUGCCCACAGCAAGCCCUACCCCUGCCAUGACUGCCUGCAAGGCUUGACCAGGCACUCCCACACCUACACAGGGGAGAGGUGCUACCUGUGUGAUUGAAGGUGGAGUUUCUAACUGCACUGCACACACAUGCACAUGGGGCCUUACUUGACAUCCUACGAGAAACAAACAAAUCCAAGCCUUGUUAACUGAAUUUGGUGGGGAAACUACUAGGAACAGGAAAGAAGGUAACUGGGAGGUACUGGUUGCUUGGUAUGUGAUUUUAAGGUGUAGAAGGCAUGAGGUGCUAAACUGAGGGAUAUUUCAUAAUCUACAGGAAUAUGAAGGAAUGAAAAUACCCAGGACAGAGGAAUGGUUUAGACCUGACCAAAGGCUGCAUACAAGAAUAGCAGGAUGCAACUAAAAAGUAAAUAUUUGCUUUAAAAAUUCUUGAAGGUAUUUUGUUAUCGGGCAGCUGAACAGAUACCCCCCAAGCAGCAUGCUUAUCAUAGGACUUGUGCAAUUUGUGUGCAUGUUUUUGAUAUUACAUUGCAAAACCAAGCCUGCACCUAGACGGAGAUGGAUCAGAUCACUUAAUGCAUCUUUUCCAAUCCUGUUGCCUCCAAUUUAACAAAAGGAAGGAGAGAAGGCACAACUGAUAAGGAUAUAGUACCAAAGGAAGGUGAGUUUAUUUUAAUCUCAGGGUUAAUUAGCCACUCAACCUAUUCCAAUAUAUUUAUCUGUUGAUGCUGAAACCAUGAUUCCUGCAUUCCUUUUUUAUAAAAUAAUAUUACAUAUUUGCCACUUAUUUAAAUAGUUUAUGAAUCCAUUCAUCCUACAUUGGUGCCAUUCUUGUAAAGCUAUGUGAUAUCAGAUCUGGAUAGUAUGCAAACAGAUCUCCUGACUAUCUUCACACAAGACAAGUAAAAAAUGAUUGUUUGCCAAUUUUAAGCCUGCAUCAACCAAAGUAGUACAAACUCGCUGCAGAAAAGAUUAAAAACUUGCAUGUGUUGAUGUCUUACAUUCAGUCUAGAGAAUUACUUAUCAAUUAAAUCAUUUGUGAUGUGAAAAAAAAAGGAAUUCUUUAAGUGGAAAAAAUUACAAGAUGAUAUGCAUCCCCUAGGGUAUGUAAAAGACUCUUCAGAUAAACUGUAGAAAUUGAGAGAAAAUGACAGAGAAACAGACUGGUUCACGGAUAUCAUUUUGUUAUUCAAUUCAGUUAGAGUUCUGCACUCUGAAAUGCUUCUACUGCUUUCUGCUGUGAUUUACAAUUAAAAGGUAGCUGCUUAUGUUAACUUUUCCCCCAGCCAUCAAUAACACACCAAAUGUACUUAUGAACAGAAACUCUCCCGUUUUAUUAGAGAAGCCCUGACAAAAAGAUGGUCAACUAUGGAAGGUACCUGUAUAUUCAUGUCACUGCCUUCUUAAAGCUGGAUCUUUUAGGAGUGCCACUAACAAACAGCCAUUUUUUUAAAGUUAAUUGCUUAGUUCACUUUUUACAAGAUAUGUACUGAGGCUGAAAGCCAUUGGAAAGCUACAAAACUGUGUGAUGACAGCAACAGAACAAGCCUAGACAGGACUAAAUCCGUGAGUUUCAGUCCUGCUUAUUCUUUUAGUCCUGAUAAACUGGUAUUUGUCAUUUCUUUCAAUUCAAUUCUUCAAACAGGGAGCAUAAAGACCUAAGCAGGACUGAAACUAAUAGAUUUAACACCUGGAUUUGUUUUGGUACUGUCUAAAAAUAAGCAAGCUUACUGGGGAUGGAUGCUAUUAGUUUAAUUUCAAAAAAUAAAAGUCUAUUUCAAAGGAUGCACUGCUUUAACCCUAGGUCUUUUCCUAACAUUUUAAAAUGAAAAACAAAAGUUUUAAAUUUAUUAUUCUGCCACUUUCCUUUAAAAUUAAUAUACAAACUGUAAUUUUCUUCAGUGCCUAUCAAGUGAGCUCCACCAGUAUUGUGAUGGAAAAAAACUACGCAAGCAUGUGACAUUUAGAACAGCUGAACCCUAUACUGGUGCAAAAUUGCUCUAUGAUAAAGCAUACCGUUACUCUUUUCUUACCAGAAAUGUGUAAGAGGACUACUCAUCAGGGUUUACCCAAUCUCUUCUCCAUACUCAAAGAUUUAUAGAUGGCAGGAAGAAGGCAAAUUCUUUCCUAGAGAACAUGGCACUUUGCUUAAAGACCUUUUGUGGCUACGAUGGGGAAAACAAAGUUUCAGGA